ACUCAGAGAAGGGAAGUGACUUAGACCAGAGCCUCUUCAUCUCUUGCGUAUAGAAGUGAAUCACCGGGAGGUCCGGGGGAAGAGCCUGUAUCUCGAAUUCCCAGGAAGUAAAACUGAGGUACCUGGAAGGCUGGGCCAGCCGGUGGUUUGUGGGUCAGCUGAUCUGGCCUGAGCUUGGCUGGGGGCAGCAGCGCAUCAUGUGUCUCCCCUCCUUCUCCUGAGACCCGGCCACCUCCCCCAUCUGGGAUCCCACAGGGCCCGGAGCAGCCUCUGGUGUAGCUCUCGCCAUGCUGUGUUGAAGCCAUCUGCGGAAAGUGCUAGAGGCAGCAUUGGAGCCAGUGAGUUCAGUGCCCU